rnacentral:rRNA from 1 species
UCUCACUGGAUACUUGAUAUCCCUAAAGGGUCGUCGAAGACUACGACGUUGAUAGGCGGGAUGUGGAAGCGCAGUAAUGUGUGUAGCUAACCCGUACUAAUUGCCCGUGAGGCUUGACCAU